GUGCCAGACUCCUACGGGAGGCAGCAGUGGGGAAUAUUGCACAAUGGGGGAAACCCUGAUGCAGCGACGCCGCGUGAGUGAAGAAGUAAUUCGUUAUGUAAAGCUCUAUCAGCAGGGAAGAAAAUGACGGUACCUGAGUAAGAAGCCCCGGCUAACUAUGUGCCAGCAGCCGCGGUAAUACAUAGGGAGCAAGCGUUAUCCGGAUUUAUUGGGUGUAAAGGGUGCGUAGACGGGAAAUUAAGUUAGUUGUGAAAUCCCUCGGCUUAACUGAGGAACUGCAACUAAAACUGAUUUUCUUGAGUACUGGAGAGGAAAGUGGAAUUCCUAGUGUAGCGGUGAAAUGCGUAGAUAUUAGGAGGAACACCAGUGGCGAAGGCGGCCUACUGGGCUUUAACUGACGCUGAAGCACGAAAGCGUGGGUAGCAAACAGGAUUAGAUACCCGCGUA
rnacentral:rRNA from 1 species